rnacentral:lncRNA from 1 species
CGUCUCUAUGCAACAGGACUAUGCAUGAUUUUCAUUUCCUGCCUUAUACUUUUUUGUGCUUCCAUAAUUUUCUACAACAAAUGUGCAUUACUUUUAUCAUCAGAAAAGAAUGCUUUCUUUGAGAUCUACAUCCCCUGAAUGGUGACAGUGCUACGCUUUGCACCUCUGCUCAUCUCCAUGUACCUAAAUGACAGGAGAAGAGAUGAAAGACGGAGCAGGACGCAGCCCCCUGUGUGAACUGGGCAGCUAAACAGCAGCCCCAAGGCUGAGGGAGAGGAGACGGUCAGGCCUCGGGCCAUUGAUAGCCCAUGUCGCACCAUUGUGCACAUCCGAGAAAGCGCCCAUCUGGGAAAAUGCAGCCCGUGAGCACACAGCUUGUUGAGCAGACAUGCCUUGGGGUGAUUUAGAAAAAGGUGCCCUCAUCUCUGGAUAGAGACAGCCCCGAUCCAAGACGCACAGCGUGGCCAGCAGAGCUGGGCUGGAUUUCAGCCCCACUCACCUCCUCAGUCACAUACCCUUGUUCUUGUUCUGUGGGUCCUUACCCACUUCUGAGAGCUCUCCAGCUGGAAAGGCUCAGAUGCUGAAUGCGAGGGACAGGUAGGCAAAACCCCAGCUUCUGGGCAUUGCAAGCUCACACACCACCUUCCCACCGCUCAUCUUCCCACUCCUGCUCUGCCUCAUGGGCAGGUGUUAGAAAUGCCACCACUUCAUAGCGACUGCCCCGAGGCCAAAGACCAAGGAAGGAGAGGACCAAGGCCUUCAAGACUGGUCUCUUGACUCCUGCUCCAGUGUUCUCUCCAUUCUGAACUGGCCUCAUUUUUGAGACCCUCCUGACUUCCCACAUCCUGUGCCUCCCCAUCCAUCCACCAGCCAUCUCAGGCUUCAUGGCACAGCUGCAUCUCUAUCUGCAGGGCUUCUGGACUCCACCCCGGCCCCACCUUCCUCUCCUACUUCUCACCUCCUCCAUCCAGAGGACAAGUCACCAGCCGUUCAGAGAGGGGGCCCGGCAUUUCCUGGGUUCUUCCUCUGCUCCUGGUGCAGGUGAGGCCUCCACACGUGUUCCCUCAGGGUCAUCCUCAGCGGGCAUUAUUUCCCCAGACCUGCCAGUGAGAAACCUGAGACUCGGUGAAGGCCAGGAGCUGUCGGAAUCCAUGUGGCCACUAAGGGAGGGACAGGGCUGGGACUGGAACCUCCUCUGUGUGAGUCCACGGUGCCUCUUCAUGUUUGUUCACAGGGAGAAAAGGAAGAGAAAGACGGCUGUGUGUGAGAAAACCCACACAUUUCCUUUUCUUUGUUAAUAACAUGUAAUAAUCCAAAAGCAAGCCUGGUGGGUGGAAAAUCCCUGCUGGCUGUGUUUCCAGGGCCUGGGAGCAUCGAGCGCCUGGCCGGACCCACAGGGCACGGCGCCUGAGGCCGGUCCGCCUCACCGGAGAGGAGCUGCCUCGCAGACCCCGCCAGGCCAGGUCCGCUGCCCUGGACUCUCAGGGACGGCAGAUAGAAAGGUCACCUCAACAGAGGGUGGCUCUUGGGACACAGAGCAGCCUGGGUGUGACCGGGCCACUCGCCUGGCUGCUCUGGCCUUGCCCUGGUCAUGGAAGAGCUUCCCCACCUGCUGGGCCACAGACCCAGCGGCCGAGGCGCCCAAGGCCGGCUGAAGAGAGGGCAGGGAGGCCGCAGGCAGGUUGGCACUAGGAGGGGCUCCACGCAGAACAGAGAGCCUCCCGUCUCAGGCAAUGGAAAACACUAGCAUGGAGAGGAGACUCAGCUACCACUAGUACAGCCUUAGAGAUGACUUCCCCAAGGGUGCCGCCAUCUUAACUUCCCAGCAUGCACUGGGCUCCGGAAACGCCUGCUCAGGGCCGCCUGGUUUACGCGGGAAGGACAAAGAAGCUGGGAGAGGAGGAGAAAAAAGGGGAUUUUUUUAACUACCUACCACGUGAGGUGUUUUUGUUUACCCUAUCUUGUUUACCUGCCACAAGCUUGGGAAGCUGGCGUUACCGUUCUUCCCAUUUUCUAGAAGAGGAAACUGCAACUCUGAGGCAGGAAGUGGCUUGCGGGGUCACAGGGCCGUAAGAACUGGGUUUAAAUACAGGUCUCUAGGGGGCUUGCUCCCUUUUCCCUUCCCAACCCAGUCCGAAGGGAGGUUUCCGCAUUCUUUCCCGGAUGAUUUGCUACCCUGUCCUCCCCUGCCCGUCGCAGCGCCCUGCAGGCCCCCUCCUGCUUCCUGUCUAGGGCCCACGGCAGAAGAGACCCACAGCAGCACCCGCUCCAGGGACUCAGCUUACAGGCUGCCAGGCUCAGGAGAAAGGCAUCGGCAAUUGCUUCGAGCCAAGCAUUAAUAACGCAUUUGACAAUUGAGGAAAUGAGGCCGGAGCCAGUCAGGCUGUGCUGCUCCCGGUGAAGGACCAACCCCUGCAGCGUCCUGUGCUCUCAGCCUCGCAGUACCCAGCAUGCCACACACACCUGGGAUGGCCAUUGGCUCUGACCCCUUGUGUGUUCUCAGGCCUUCGAGAUUUUGAAAGGCAAGUUCAAGAACGUUUUUUAGGAGACUGUUGGCUGCCAAUUGCAAUGAUUUUGUGUGUCCGAGGACUUGGUAAGGGCAGCUAAAGAGAUGUGAAGCUUAUAUGAUGAAAUCUGACUUGCUAAAGGAAUGCAAAACCCUUCCACGUGAUUCACCCUUGCACGCCCGCUCUUGGCCAGCUGUGAAGGGCGCUAUGGCAGCAUCAGAGCUCGGUGACCUCCUCCCUUAAUGUCACAGUGAAGCCAGCACUCUGCUCUCCAGGGAAAGCAGUGAGCCCUCCAUGAGCCAGUUCAGUGCAGCUGAGCAUAUGGACAGGAGCUCGCUGUUGCCGGAGAUGGAGAAUAACAGGCCCGGACACAGGGUGCCCCCAGGAUGAUGGAGCACCCUCCACAUGCUGUCAUGGCGGGCACAAGGGAGCCCCCUGUUCUGCUUUCUCCAAGCCCUCCAUGAUGCCUGAACAGCCCCCCGUGGAAGCUCUGUUCUAAGCAGACUCUCUCCAACAGGUGACAAAGACGGUCCCAGGACUUCAGGCUUAGGCUCUACCCAUCUGGCAACCACCACAGAGCAAGUGACUCCUUCCAGCAAAACUUCCAAGGUUGGGUCUCACUGGUUGAGCUUGAGCCACAUCCCCAUUCCUGAGCCAGUCUCUAUGAUUCAAGGGGGGCCUACAAUUGAGAGUGGGGGGCUUCCCCAAAGGAAAAUUGAGGGGCUAUUCCCAAAGGAUGGAUAAUAGCUGCUGGGCUGGCGGAAACAUCAGCCAUGCCUCCGACAUGGAAGUACUUAGAAUUCUGCCAGACAGGGUCAGACAGGGUCAUUAUUACUGUAGGAGACCACAGUGUGCAUGGCAUUUGGACAAACCCAGGCUGAGAGACCUGCUUCCACAGAGGGGUUGGCAAGACGUCACAGUUUGGUCCAACAUCACCAUACACUUCCUUGGUCUCAGAAGGAGCGAGAAAGGAGCGUGGGUCUGCGACCCUGGGGUCUGCAUUCCUCCCCUCGUUCUGGCAUUCCCUGGCCAUGUGGCCUUGGGAAAGUGACCUAACCAUACUCAGACUUGAUUUUCUCAUCUGGAAAAUGGGAACCAGAAAACCUCUCUUGUAGGGUUGCUGUCAGGAUUGAAAGAGAAGAGGAUCCAGGUGCCUGGAACCAUCCUGGCACACAUCAGGGGCUCAAAGGAUGAUUUUUAAAAGCCCACCUGCCAGCAGGCGCCUGCACUCCUGAAAAGCCCUUUGGGCAUCUGAACUGAGGACCAGAGGACCUUCAGGAAAGCAAUUCCCCUUUGCCUUAGCUGUUGGCGGACUUUACAAAAAGAAGUUAAAUAAAGCCAAUGCUGUGACUCUCUUAGCUCUUUUCCAAGCCCCUUGACUCAGCAGUGGUGAAAACAUGAGGAGAACCAGUCCCACCAAGCCAAUCAAUGGCAAAGACUAGCUCCGAGGUCCCCAGGGCCCAGUGCUCCGGCAUUGAGGCUGCUGCCCUAAGAGGUCGGGAGACAGGAGAAGAGCAGGAAAGAGAAAGCUGCUCGCCCACUGCCACGACCAGUGGAAGCGCUCGUCCAGCUCUGCAGUCAGUGCUCUGUCUUGCUUGGCUGGGAGUUCCCAGGAGCAGGGGAAGCACUUUGUCACUAUGAAAUGCCACAAAAGUGGUUCUCAAAGAGGGCAUCACAGGACCCGCAGCCCUUGGGGAACUAACAGGUGUGCAGUGCAUUCUGGGUGAUUUGAAUUCUGGAGAAAAUCUGGCAUCAAAAUGUUAGGAAAGCCUCCUGUGGUGCAAAAUUUAAAAUAAUGCAAAUCUCCCUUUUCACAUGUUCAAAAUGUGUCAAGAAUUGCAUAACUGCAAACGAACGAGGUGUCAGUGGAGCUUUCUGUGCUGCCCAUGUCAGCACCACCACAGCUAGUGAAUAAUCGUACCCUGCCCUUUAUCCAUGCUGCGAGAAAUAGGUCUUGAAUUAUUCACUUUGUGCACAAUACAGUAGCUUAAAGAAUGGAUCCUGUGCAUGAAACAACCACCCUGACUUGAGAACAAGUGGCUGUGCUCAGACAUGCUCCCUGCACAUCAC